GACGUUGUGAGAAGUCCACUGAACCUUAUCAUUUAGAGGAAGGAGAAGUCGUAACAAGGUUUCCGUAGGUGAACCUGCGGAAGGAUCAUUGUCGAUGCCUCACAAUCAGUUCAACUCGCGAACCUGUUUAACCGCAUAGGGUUGGUUGGAUGUCUAACAUCUUAGCUUCCCUUGUGUUGUGGGCGGGCUUGUGCUCUGCACGGCCUCCUUCGACAAAACACAAACCCCGGYGCAACAUGCGUCAAGGAACCUGGAAUUGUUUGAUGCGCCUGCAGACCCCGGAGACGGUGUUUGUAGGUGACGUCGUUCAACAUGUAUCAAAAUGACUCUCGGCAACGGAUAUCUCGGCUCUUGCAUCGAUGAAGAACGUAGCAAAAUGCGAUACUUGGUGUGAAUUGCAGAAUCCCGUGAACCAUCGAGUCUUUGAACGCAAGUUGCGCCUGAAACCAUUAGGUUGAGGGCACGUCUGCCUGGGUGUCACACAAUGUUGCCCGACGCCAACGCCGUUCCACGAUCGGUGUUUGAGCGGGGCGAAAGUUGGCUUCCCACGAGCUCUGUCCCGUGGUUGGUUGAAAAACGAGUCCUCGGUGGAAUGCUCCAUGAGAAAUGGUGGUUGAGUCAUGCUCGAGACCAAACAUGCGCGGCUUCCCCUUAAGGUGGACCUCCGACCCCUUGCGUCCUAACACGACGCUCACAACGAGACCUCAGGUCAGGCGGGACUACCCGCUGAGUUUAAGCAUAUCAAUAAGCGGAGGAAAAGAAACUAACAAGGAUUCCCCUAGUAACGGCGAGCG
rnacentral:rRNA from 1 species